rnacentral:rRNA from 1 species
AGAGUUGAUCCUGGCUCAGAUUGAACGCUGGCGGCAUGCCUUACACAUGCAAGUCGAACGGUAACAGGUCUUCGGAUGCUGACGAGUGGCGAACGGGUGAGUAAUACAUCGGAACGUGCCCGAUCGUGGGGGAUAACGAGGCGAAAGCUUUGCUAAUACCGCAUACGAUCUACGGAUGAAAGCGGGGGAUCUUCGGACCUCGCGCGGACGGAGCGGCCGAUGGCAGAUUAGGUAGUUGGUGGGAUAAAAGCUUACCAAGCCGACGAUCUGUAGCUGGUCUGAGAGGAUGAUCAGCCACACUGGGACUGAGACACGGCCCAGACUCCUACGGGAGGCAGCAGUGGGGAAUUUUGGACAAUGGGCGAAAGCCUGAUCCAGCCAUGCCGCGUGCAGGAUGAAGGCCUUCGGGU